rnacentral:tRNA from 1 species
AUGGUUGGGAUAGCUCAGUUGGUAGAGCAGAG